CGUUAGCGGCGGACGGGUGAGUAACACGUGGAUAACCUACCUAUAAGACUGGGAUAACUUCGGGAAACCGGAGCUAAUACCGGAUAAUAUAUUGAACCGCAUGGUUCAAUAGUGAAAGACGGUUUUGCUGUCACUUAUAGAUGGAUCCGCGCCGCAUUAGCUAGUUGGUAAGGUAACGGCUUACCAAGGCAACGAUGCGUAGCCGACCUGAGAGGGUGAUCGGCCACACUGGAACUGAGACACGGUCCAG
rnacentral:rRNA from 1 species